rnacentral:misc_RNA from 1 species
AAGUCGUAACAAGGUUUCCGUAGGUGAACCUGCGGAAGGAUCAUUAACACGUUCUAAACGUAUCAACCAACUGUGCACACAACUCCUCCCUGGAAACACGAAGAAGGAACAUUUUCGAAUGUCUCCUCUCGACGUGUUUGUGGGCUAAAUGAAGUGUGGAAGCGGCGUCACGUUCGAAUUUCGAUUCGUUCCGUGUUCGUUGUUUUCAUUCUUCGCCUUUUUUCACUUUUAUCACCCCCUGAUAUUACUACUUAGUUGACUUAUUUUCGGAGGCUCGUGUCUUAAUUGCCACUGUCUCUCUCAUUUACUGAGUGAAUGAAAAUACAACUCUUAGCAAUGGAUAUCUUGGUUCUC